rnacentral:rRNA from 1 species
CCUACGGGAGGCAGCAGUGAGGAAUAUUGGUCAAUGGACGAGAGUCUGAACCAGCCAAGUAGCGUGAAGGAUGACUGCCCUAUGGGUUGUAAACUUCUUUUAUAAAGGAAUAAAACGAGGCACGUGUGCCUUUUUGCAUGGACUUUAUGAAUAAGGAACGGCUAACAUCGUGCCAGCAGCCGCGGUAAUACGGAGGAUACGGGCUUUACCCGGAUUUAUUGGGUUUUAAGGGAGCGUAGAUGGGUCGUUAAGUUAGUUGUGAAAGUUUGCGGCUCAACCGUAAAAGUGCAAUUGAUACUGGCGGUCUUGAGUACAGUUGAGGUAGGCGGAAUUCGUGGUGUAGCGGUGAAAUGCUUAGAUAUCACGAAGAACCCCGAUUGCGAAGGCAGCUUACUAGACUGUAACUGACAUUGAUGCUCGAAAGUGUGGGUAUCAAACAGGAUUAGAUACCCCUGUAGUC